rnacentral:sRNA from 1 species
AUAUUUGACUCUGAAACACUAACCAAGCUUUUUAUUGCUUCUCAAAGCUUUGAUAGUGUAGCCGAAGUCCGUAUGAGUCUUAGGCGUUGUAUCUUCUAAUAAGGAACCACUACUUUAGCUUUUGGAAACCAGUUGCGGUUCUAGUUCUUAUACUCCAUCAUACACAUGACAUCUAGUCAUAUUUGACUCCAAAAUACUAACCAAGCUUCUUUUUGCUUUUCCUAACUUUAUUGGUGUAACCGAAGUCCGUAUGAGUCUUUGGCUUUGUAUCUUCUAACAAGGAAAUACUACUUUAGCUUUUGGGAACCGGUUGCGGUUCUAGUUCUAAUACUCAAUCAUACAAAUGACAUCUAUUCAUAUUUCACUCCAAAACACUAACCAAGCUUCUUAUUGCUUCUCAAAGCUUUGAUGGUGUAGCCGAACUCUAUAUGAGUCUUUUGCUUUGUACCUUCUAACAAGGAGAUACUACUUAGGCUUUCAAGAUCCAGUUGAGAUUCUAGUUCUUAUAUUCAAUCAUACACAUGAUAUGUAGUCAUAUUUGACUCUUAAACAAUAACCAAGCUUUUUU